rnacentral:rRNA from 1 species
UAAAGGAAGGGGCAAGGGGGAGCACCACAAGGGGUGAAGCCUGCGGUUCAAUUGGAGUCAACGCCAGAAAUCUUACCCGGAGAGACAGCAGAAUGAAGGUCAAGCUGAAGACUUUACCAGACAAGCUGAGAGGUGGCGCAUGGCCGUCGCCAGCUCGUGCCGUGAGAUGUCCUGUUAAGUCAGGUAACGAGCGAGAUCCCUGCCACUAGUUGCUAUCAUUAUUCUCAGGAAUAGUGGGGCGAAUUAGUGGGACUGCCGCUGUUAAAACGGAGGAAGGAAGGGGCUACGGCAGGUCAGUAUGCCCCGAAACUCUGGGGCCACACGCGGGCUUGCAAUGGUAGCGACAAUGAGUUCCAAACUCGAAAGAGUGUGGCAAUCCCUAAACGCUACCACAGUUAUGACUGAGGGCUGUAACUCGCCCUCACGAAUAUGGAAUCCCUAGUAACCGCGUGUCAUUACCGCGCGGUGAAUACGUCCCUGCUCCUUGCACACACCGCCA